rnacentral:rRNA from 1 species
AAUGAACGUUGGCGGCGUGGAUUAGGCAUGCAAGACGUGCGAGAAGUCUUUUGCUUGCAUUAGACGGAAAGCGGCGAAAGGGAGAGUAACGCGUGGGUACCUACCUCUAGGUUCAGGAUAGCUGCGGGAAACUGUGGGUAAUACCGAAUAACAUCUCCGGAUCAAAGGUGUGAUUCCGCCUGGAGACGGGCCCGCGUCCUAUUAGCUUGUUGGUGGGGUAAUGGCUUACCAAGGCAAUGAUGGGUAUCGGGCGUGAGAGCGUGACCCGACUCACUGGGACUGAGACACUGCCCAGACACCUACGGGUGGCUGCAGUCGAGAAUCUUCGGCAAUGGGCGCAAGCCUGACCGAGCGACGCCGCGUGCGGGAUGAAGGCCCUCGGGUUGUAAACCGCUGUCAGUUGGGAGGAAAUCACAUGGGGUUCUCUCCAUGUGUUGACCUAUCUUCAGAGGAAGGACGGGCUAAGUUCGUGCCAGCAGCCGCGGUAACAC